CUACGGGGUGCUCCAGUGAGGAAUUUUCCACAAUGGGCGAAAGCCUGAUGGAGCGACGCCGUGUGAGCGAUGAAGUCUUUCGGGAUGUAAAGCUCUGUCAGAGGGGACGAUAUUGACGGUACCCUCAGAGGAAGGCCCGGCUAACUACGUGCCAGCAGCCGCGGUAAUACGUAGGGGCCAAGCGUUGUCCGGAAUUACUGGGCGUAAAGCGCGCGUAGGCGGUGUGAUAAGUCGGAUGUAAAAGGUUAAAGCUCAACUUUAACAUGCAUUCGAUACUGUCACGCUGGAGAGAUGCAGAGGAAAGCGGAACUUACGGUGUAGCGGUGAAAUGCGUAGAUAUCGUAAGGAACACCAAUGGCGAAGGCAGCUUUCUGGGCAUUUUCUGACGCUCAAGCGCGAAAGCUAAGGGAGCAAACGGGAUUAGAUACCCGCGUAGUC
rnacentral:rRNA from 1 species